CGCCGCCAGCCUUAAGGAGAGCGGGCACCUGGACGCUGGGCGCAGCCCUGCCCGCCGCUCCUCCUCCGCUCGUCGCUCCUCUUCCGUCCGCCGCCAGCAUGAUGUGCGGGGCGCCCACCGCCUCGCAGCCCGCCACGGCCGAGACCCAGGCCAUCGCCGACCAGGUUAAACCCCAGCUGGAAGAACGGGAAAAUAAGCAGUAUGCUACAUUUAAGGCUGUGGAGUUCAGAAGCCAGGUGGUCGCAGGGAUGAACUACUUCAUCAAGGUUCAAGUUGACGAUGAUGAGUUUGUGCACCUUCGAGUAUUUCGAAGUCUUCCACACGAAAACAAGCCUGUGGCCUUGUCCAGCUAUCAGACCAACAAAGCCAGGUAACAGAGGGCGUGCAGAAGAGUCAGUUGGCCUCGCUGAGCACCGGCCACCUGCAGAGUCUCUUGAACUUCUGCUCUGAGCUGCGUGUGCUCAGGGUACAGUGGAGCUCCUGGGCAAUAGCACGUCUCCAGUUCUCAACAGAGGGUCCCUGCGUCAGUGACGUCAGUCCUGUGCUUGGUUUGCCCUGUGUCUCCGUUUCAUAAGCAAAGGGCACAACGUUACUGUUGUCGGGAGAGAGGGAGGACUGGUGAGGUGUCUGUGUGGUUCGGGUCGUGGCAGAAAGUUGUUUUCGAGGGUUCAUGUUGGUCUCGGAUUCCCAAACCUCUGUGUCUGCGGCGUGGGGCACGUUGAGCUGGCUCUGCGGCUGCAGGAUCGGGCUGUCUGGAUCUCGAGGGAAGGAAGAGCGCGCUAGGGUAGCGUGGUGAGCAAACAGCUUCGAAGCUUUGAAGAACACCCUAAUACGAGCUAUGUGAGUCCUCGUCGCUGUCCUUGAACUAGAAUAAAAAGCGUUCCUAACAGGCUCUUAUUCUUGGCGGUCAAGCGAUUUUGCAUUGAAAUGAAGACUGAGCAUAUUUUGCAACUCAGCAUGGGGACAGUAAUCCAGAGCUGGUCUGGGGGACGUACGCUCUUCCAUCUACCCCUUGGUUCCUCAGUGCAGGGACCACCAUGGGGUUCCUGUCCGUGUCUCCCUACGACAGGACUUUUCUCUAGUUCUGCAACUUACCACCAGGUAGCCCUUCGUGCCAGGCUGGUGACGCACCCCCCCCCAACCAUGGCCCCUCAAACGCCUGGAAUGGCCCCUCACUGAGCCCUCCUCCAUUCACCCCUGGGAGUACCAUCUGUUUCUCCAGAGCCAAGAAGACUGCAAAAGGGACCCGGCCCACUGCUGAGCGUCACAGACCCCAGUGCUCAAGCUCCCCAGGUGGGAACGAGCCCCCCCUGGGCCAGCAGGCGGGCGCCUUUCCCAGCUGCCCUCAGGUCGGCGCACUCUGCCAGCCCUGGUUCUGCCCCUCCAGGGGGCCCCCGGCUUCCCCACCAGCUCAGAGGAGCAGACCCCACCACACCCUGUCGCUAGCUGCUCCCAGAACACGGCGCCAGCGGAAAGCACAGUCAGCUGACUCAGAUGGGAUCAGGUGCACGUCGGCCUAGAGACAGAGGAACAAGUAACUGAUGUCACUCAUGCACUGGACACAAUCAUCGGUGUGGGUAAUCGGUCACCACCAGGUGGGGUGCCUAGGAGGCUCUCACUGAGCUGCUUGGAAGUGGCAUUCAUGCAUUUUCUGUCCUUGCAAAAGCAGGCACAUGGCUCCAGCAGACAAGGGCUAGAAAAAAAUGAGAAUUCUAGAGGAACGUGUGAAUUCCUCUAUAGUCCAGGCUAGACAAAGGCUUUUGAUCUACAACCCCAAUUACAGACUUGGAGAACGUAAUUGUAACUGAUUAAGGGUUGAUACUGCUAAUGUAUAAAGAACUCUUAAAAGUGGGGAGAAAAAGAUGAAAAAUCCUAUUGUAAAAUAAUCAAAGACCUGAACACAAUCACAACAAUUAUUAAAAUGCCCACGUA